GCGCACCAGGCGCGAAUCUUCCACAAUGGACGAAAGUCUGAUGGAGCGACGCCGCGUGCGGGAUGAAGGCCUUAUGGGUUGUAAACCGCUGUCAGGGGGGAAGAACAUCGGAAUGAACAAUACUCAUUCCGACUGACGGUUACCCCCAGAGGAAGCUCCGGCCAACUCCGUGCCAGCAGCCGCGGGUAAUACGGGGGGAGCAAGCGUUGUCCGGAAUUAUUGGGCGUAAAGGGCGUGUAGGCGGCGAGGUAAGUCGAAUGGUGAAAUCUCACGGCUCAACCGUGAAACUGCGUUCGAAACUACCCUGCUUGAGUACGGGGGAGGUGUACGGAAUUCCGUGGUGUAGCGGUGGAAUGCGUAGAUAUCAGGAAGAACGACCGGUGGC
rnacentral:rRNA from 1 species